rnacentral:rRNA from 1 species
AUUGAACGCUGGCGGCAGGCCUAACACAUGCAAGUCGAACGGUAGCACAGAGAGCUUGCUCUCGGGUGACGAGUGGCGGACGGGUGAGUAAUGUCUGGGAAACUGCCCGAUGGAGGGGGAUAACUACUGGAAACGGUAGCUAAUACCGCAUAAUGUCGCAAGACCAAAGAGGGGGACCCUCGGGCCUCUUGCCAUCGGAUGUGCCCAGAUGGGAUUAGCUUGUAGGUGAGGUAACGGCUCACCUAGGCGACGAUCCCUAGCUGGUCUGAGAGGAUGACCAGCCACACUGGAACUGAGACACGGUCCAGACUCCUACGGGAGGCAGCAGUGGGGAAUAUUGCACAAUGGGCGCAAGCCUGAUGCAGCCAUGCCGCGUGUAUGAAGAAGGCCUUCGGGUUGUAAAGUACUUUCAGCGGGGAGGAAGGGAGUGAGGUUAAUAACCUUAUUCAUUGACGUUACCCGCAGAAGAAGCACCGGCUAACUCCGUGCCAGCAGCCGCGGUAAUACGGAGGGUGCAAGCGUUAAUCGGAAUUACUGGGCGUAAAGCGCACGCAGGCGGUCUGUCAAGUCGGAUGUGAAAUCCCCGGGCUCAACCUGGGAACUGCAUUCGAAACUGGCAGGCUGGAGUCUUGUAGAGGGGGGUAGAAUUCCAGGUGUAGCGGUGAAAUGCGUAGAGAUCUGGAGGAAUACCGGUGGCGAAGGCGGCCCCCUGGACAAAGACUGACGCUCAGGUGCGAAAGCGUGGGGAGCAAACAGGAUUAGAUACCCUGGUAGUCCACGCUGUAAACGAUGUCGACUUGGAGGUUGUUCCCUUGAGGAGUGGCUUCCGGAGCUAACGCGUUAAGUCGACCGCCUGGGGAGUACGGCCGCAAGGUUAAAACUCAAAUGAAUUGACGGGGGCCCGCACAAGCGGUGGAGCAUGUGGUUUAAUUCGAUGCAACGCGAAGAACCUUACCUACUCUUGACAUCCAGAGAACUUAGCAGAGAUGCUUUGGUGCCUUCGGGAACUCUGAGACAGGUGCUGCAUGGCUGUCGUCAGCUCGUGUUGUGAAAUGUUGGGUUAAGUCCCGCAACGAGCGCAACCCUUAUCCUUUGUUGCCAGCGGUCCGGCCGGGAACUCAAAGGAGACUGCCAGUGAUAAACUGGAGGAAGGUGGGGAUGACGUCAAGUCACCAUGGCCCUUACGAGUAGGGCUACACACGUGCUACAAUGGCAUAUACAAAGAGAAGCGACCUCGCGAGAGCAAGCGGACCUCAUAAAGUAUGUCGUAGUCCGGAUUGGAGUCUGCAACUCGACUCCAUGAAGUCGGAAUCGCUAGUAAUCGUGGAUCAGAAUGCCACGGUGAAUACGUUCCCGGGCCU